rnacentral:rRNA from 1 species
UACGUAGGUGGCAAGCGUUGUUCGGAAUUAUUGGGCGUAAAGGGCGCGUAGGCGGCUUGUUAAGUCGGCUGUGAAAGCCCGGGGCUCAACCCCGGAGGGUCAGCCGAUACUGGCAGGCUAGAGUACGGAAGAGGUAGCUGGGAUUCCCGGUGUAGCGGUGAAAUGCGUAGAUAUCGGGAGGAACACCUGAGGCGAAGGCGGGCUACUGGGCCGAUACUGACGCUGAUGUGCGAAAGCCAGGGGAGCGAACGGG